GCACUCUUAGUGUAGCGGUAGCACAUCAAGCUCCAACCUUGAUAGCGUGGGUUCAAAUCCUACAGAGUGUG
rnacentral:tRNA from 3 species